GAUGAACGCUGGCGGCGUGCCUAAUACAUGCAAGUCGAGCGAACAGACGAGGAGCUUGCUCCUUUGACGUUAGCGGCGGACGGGUGAGUAACACGUAGGUAACCUACCUAUAUGACUGGGAUAACUUCGGGAAACCGGAGCUAAUACCGGAUAAUAUUUCGAACCGCAUGGUUCGAUAGUGAAAGAUGGUUUUGCUGUCACUUAUAGGUGGACCCGCGCCGUAUUAGCUAGUUGGUAAGGUAACGGCUUACCAAGGCAACGAUACGUAGCCGACCUGAGAGGGUGAUCGGCCACACUGGAACUGAGACACGGUCCAGACUCCUACGGGAGGCAGCAGUAGGGAAUCUUCCGCAAUGGGCGAAAGCCUGACGGAGCAACGCCGCGUGAGUGAUGAAGGUCUUCGGAUCGUAAAACUCUGUUAUUAGGGAAGAACAAACGUGUAAGUAACUGUGCACGUCUUGACGGUACCUAAUCAGAAAGCCACGGCUAACUACGUG
rnacentral:rRNA from 1 species